GAUGAACGCUGGCGGCGUGCUUAACACAUGCAAGUCGAACGGGAAACCUUUUAUUGAAGCUUCGGCAGAUUUAGCUGGUUUCUAGUGGCGGACGGGUGAGUAACGCGUGGGUAACCUGCCUUAUACAGGGGGAUAACAACCAGAAAUGGUUGCUAAUACCGCAUAAGCGCACAGGACCGCAUGGUCCGGUGUGAAAAACUCCGGUGGUAUAAGAUGGACCCGCGUUGGAUUAGCUAGUUGGCAGGGUAACGGCCUACCAAGGCGACGAUCCAUAGCCGGCAUGAGAGGGUGAACGGCCACAUUGGGACUGAGACACGGCCCAGACUCCUACGGGAGGCAGCAGUGGGGAAUAUAGCAAAAUGGGGGAAACCCUGAUGCAGCGACGCCGCGUGAAGGAAGAAGUAUCUCGGUAUGUAAACUUCUAUCAGCAGGGAAGAUAGUGACGGUACCUGACUAAGAAGCCCCGGCUAACUACGUG
rnacentral:rRNA from 1 species